rnacentral:rRNA from 1 species
AUCCAGCAAUGCCGCGUGAGUGAAGAAGGCCUUCGGGUUGUAAAGCUCUUUCAGUUGAGAAGAAAAGGUUGUGGUCAAUAAUCACAAUUGAUGACGGUAUCUACAGAAGAAGCACCGGCUAACUACGUGCCAGCAGCCGCGGUAAUACGUAGGGUGCAAGCGUUAAUCGGAAUUACUGGGCGUAAAGGGUGCGCAGGCGGCUUUGUAAGUCAGAUGUGAAAUCCCCGGGCUUAACCUGGGAAUUGCGUUUGAAACUACAAGGCUAGAGUGUAGCAGAGGGGGGUGGAAUUCCAUGUGUAGCAAUGAAAUGCGUAGAGAUAUGGAAGAACAUCGAUGGCGAAGGCUGACCCCUGGGUUAACACUGACGCUCAUGCACGAAAGCGUGGGGAGCAAACAGGAUUAGAUCCCCUGGUAGA